rnacentral:rRNA from 1 species
CUUACACAUGCAAGUCGAACGAGAUCCAAUGUGUAGCAAUACACAGGAAGAUCUAGUGGCGAACGGGUGAGGAACACGUGAGAAACGUACCCCGGACUCUGGGAUAACAAUUCGAAAGGAUUGCUAAUACCAGAUGACGUCGGAAGUCCGCAUGGACAUCUGACGAAAGGGAUUCCGGUUUGGGAGCGUCUCGCGGACCUAUCAGCUAGUUGGAGGGGUAACGGCCCACCAAGGCAGCGACGGGUAGCUGGUCUGAGAGGAUGGUCAGCCACACUGGGACUGAGACACGGCCCAGACUCCUACGGGAGGCAGCAGUGGGGAAUCUUGCACAAUGGAGGAAACUCUGAUGCAGCGAUGCCGCGUGAGUGAAGAAGGCCUUUGGGUUGUAAAGCUCUUUUGUAGGGGAAGAUAAUGACUGUACCCUAAGAAUAAGGUCCGGCUAACUUCGUGCCAGCAGCCGCGGUAAUACGAAGGGACCUAGCGUAGUUCGGAAUUACUGGGCGUAAAGCGCGCGUAGGCCGUUGAGUUAGUUAAUUGUGAAAUCCCAAAGCUUAACUUUGGAACUGCAAUUAAAACUGCUCGACUAGAGUUUGAUAGAGGAAAGCGGAAUACAUAGUGUAGAGGUGAAAUUCGUAGAUAUUAUGUAGAACACCAGUUGCGAAGGCGGCUUUCUGGAUCAACACUGACGCUGAGGCGCGAAAGUAUGGGUAGCAAAGAGGAUUAGAUACCCUCGUAGUCCAUACCAUAAACGAUGAUUGCUAGAUGUUGGAAAUUUAUUUUCAGUAUCGCAGCUAACGCAUUAAGCAAUCCGCCUGGGGAGUACGACCGCAAGGUUAAAACUCAAAUGA